UACGAAGGGGGCUAGCGUUGUUCGGAAUUACUGGGCGUAAAGGGCGCGUAGGCGGCCGCUCAAGUUAGGCGUGAAAGCCCCGGGCUCAACCUGGGAAUUGCGCUUGAUACUGUGUGGCUUGAGUUCGGGAGAGGAGAGUGGAAUUCCCAGUGUAGAGGUGAAAUUCGUAGAUAUUGGGAAGAACACCGGUGGCGAAGGCGGCUCUCUGGACCGAUACUGACGCUGAGGCGCGAAAGCGUGGGGAGCAAACAGG
rnacentral:rRNA from 1 species